rnacentral:tRNA from 1 species
UCUAAUAUGGCAGAAACUAUGCUAUGAAUUUAAGCUUCAUAUAUAAAGAUAAAUCUUUUAUUAGAA